GCCGGAAUGGCAUAAUGGUUUGAGUGUUGGACUACAACUCUGGAUACCAGGGUUUGAUUCCCAGCUCAGCCA